rnacentral:rRNA from 1 species
UGAGUAACAUGACCUUGCGGGGAUAGCCGGCCCAACGGCCGGGUAAUACCGCGUACGACCACAUGGGGGGNACGACUCCCUCGAGGUGGUAGGAAAGACGAGAC